CAUCCCCCGCGCUGGGAGCCGGCGCUGCGCGGCUGCACCACAGCGGGCGGGAGCCUUCGGCGGGGCGGGGGGCGGCCCGGCAGCCUCCCGCGCCCGUAGGGUCGGCCCCAUCCGGGCCCGGCCCCGCGCGGUUCCUCCGGGAGCGGCCAGCGCCCGCAGCGCGGCGGCCGGGAUGGGGCCGGGGCUGGGGCGGCGGCGCGGGCCGCGGUUGGUCGUCGCACGCCGCUGAGUAGGGGGGGGGCGCCGCACCGGGGGUCUCGGCGCCAGGCAGGGGAGGGGAGAUCCCCUUGCCCCGCUGCUCUCGGUGCCGCGGCGGGGUCGUGAGCGUGGGCGGGCCCCGCCCGCGGCGGGGUCGGAGUCGGGGUCGGGAGCGCGGGUGGGCCCGGCCCGCGGCGGGGCGGCCGGUGCGGCGAGUCCCGCCCGGCUCCUUCACGCACCCCGGCGCCUCACCCCGGGACCCGCGGGCACCCCGCGGCCGCCCUUCUGUCGGGAAGACCUCUCACAUUUUUUCUUAAAACACCCCCAAAGAAACCGUUUUGCGAGAGCCCUUCGCGGCACGGCGACGCACAGCGCCAGCGCCUGGACCCGGAGGUGGGAAAGCCCGUGGGCUUUUCGGGAUGGAUUCGCGAAGGACGCACAAAGCGUUUGCAAGCGAAGUCUGAGGGCAGUGCUUUUGCAGAGAGGCAAAAGAGGGAUGGAGCUCUCAGCAGCAGGCUUUUUCACCACACGCUCCUUGGAGCUUUGCUGGCUUCUAGUACCUUAGCAUCUCCUGCUUUCUCUACUGUUUAAGUGAGAUAUUUUGUCAGCCUCCAAGGAAUGUGCUCUUGUUUCGCUGGCUGGAUGAAGCAAGCAAUGCAGAUUUAGUGGACAAAGAACUUCAUGCUCUGAGUUUUAAUGUUUUGCUACAGAUUCAGUGUAGCAAAAUAGGUCUAGGAACACAGCAACAUCAUGUAGAAAGAAAAAAUAAAUGCCAAGCUGCAGCGUCUCUUCAGGACUGAGUUCACGUUUCUACAUGUAGAUUCAAUUUUUGUGUAAAACAAGUCAUUAAACUUACCUGCAGUGAAACCCAUUAUAACUGUCUGGAUUACUGCCUCCUAAACGUGAUCUGCAGGUUGUGGUCUGUCAGAUAGCAGAUGAUGAUACAUAAACAACUGCUUAAAACCCUCUGAUGCAUAAACAUAAGCAACCAAGGAAAGAACAAAAUGGAGAAAAAUGAAAACAAACAUUCAGGGUUAAGCUUAAUUUUUAUUUGGCAGUAAAUAAAAAUCACUGUGACAAUAUUCUUUAAGACGAUCGCCAGAGUGCAAUUAUUACCAGAGUGCAAUUUUUUGUUAGGUGGCCAUUGGAUUACAAGUAAAAUUGAAAAUUAUUACCGUAUGCUUUUAAUAUACAGACCCAUCCAGAGCCAUUACUUUUUUACAAUUUUUGUAUGCAUUGCCGGCAAGGCUGCACAGUUAUAGAAUCAGAUCAGAGAAUUCCCUGUGAUAUUGUAUAUUGAUUCGGACGUCAGAUUUCAGGUAGAUACAAAGAUCCAUUUACACAGAUGUAACUACAAGUUUGGAAUCACUGCAGCAUCUGUGUAUACCAGUAUAAACCAUGCUAUUGUCUUAAAUUAAUAUAUCAGAAGUUCAUAUGACAAGCAGAACCUCACCUUAACUAAAAGGUGGAAAGAUUUUGCAAGUUUGCAACAAUUAAAACUUUUUUUUUCUUUCCCUUUUCCUGUUUCUCUGAGGUGCUUUUUCAACAAAUAAAAACUCAUGGCAAAUGAUCAGUAUGCUGCAUCUGAGAAAUAUUUUCUUUGUAUAUUGAAAAAACCUACCAAUUAUCCCUUCUGCAACACAGCAGAUUCAAAAAAAAAUCUGUCUAUUAUUCUUAGCCAUAGUCCAUGGUGUUAUGAAGACUUUGGUAUACUUCAUUCCAGCCGAUAAGUAACAUAUUAGAAAAUGAACAAUAUGGGAAAACUAAUGACGAUUUUGAAGUCAGUGUUUUAUUUUGGCACACUUUCUAGGUAUUAAAUAAGCUUAUCAUCUUUCUGUGCUACUACUUAAUGUUUAAAGAUCAAAUUAUAUUUCUGGAAAGCAGUUACGUUCCAGCUGUGAUUAGUGUAGCAAAUGCUAAUAUGAAUUUUU